rnacentral:rRNA from 1 species
UGGUCAAGUUAUUAAGGGUGCAGGGCGGAUGCCUUGGCACUAGGAGCCGAUGAAGGACGUGAUAAGCUGCGAUAAGCUUCGGGGAGUUGCACGUAAACUUUGAUCCGAAGAUUUCCGAAUGAGGAAACUCACUUAGAGUAAUGUCUAAGUAUCAUUAAGUGAAUACAUAGCUUAAUGAGGGGAACUCAGGGAACUGAAACAUCUAAGUACCUGAAGGAAGAGAAAGAAAUUCGAUUCCGUAAGUAGCGGCGAGCGAACGCGGAUUAGCCCAAACCAAUAAAGUUUUCUUUACUGGGGUUGCGGACAUAUCAUAACGAAGAGGUAUCGUAAUUGAAGAGGUUUGGAAAGACCCACCACAGAAGGUAAUAGUCCUGUAUGUUAAACGAGAAGACUUCAGAUAUGAUCCAGAGUACCACGGGACACGUGAAACCCUGUGGGAAGCAGGAGGGACCACCCUCCAAGGCUAAAUACUACCUAGUGACCGAUAGCGUAUAGUACCGUGAGGGAAAGGUGAAAAGAACCCCGGGAGGGGAGUGAAAUAGAACCUGAAACCCUGCACUUACAAGCUGUGGAAGCACAUUUCUUGUGUGACCGCGUACUUUUUGUAGAACGGGCCAACGAGUUACGUUAAGUAGCAAGGUUAAGCACUUAAGGUGCGGAGCCGUAGCGAAAGCGAGUUUUAACUGAGCGUUCAGUUACUUGACGUAGACCCGAAACCGGGCGACCUACCCAUGAGCAGGAUGAAGCGAAAGUAAAAUUUCGUGGAGGUCCGAACCCACGAGCGUUGAAAAGCUCGGGGAUGACUUGUGGGUAGCGGUGAAAUUCCAAUCGAGCCCGGAGAUAGCUGGUUCUCCCCGAAAUAGCUUUAGGGCUAGCCUCAAGGUGAGAGAUACGGAGGUAGAGCACUGAAUGUCCUAGGGGGUAUUGCACCUACCGAAGACUAUCAAACUCCGAAUGCCGUCAUCUUAUACUUGGGAGUCAGACUGUGGGUGAUAAGAUUCAUAGUCGAAAGGGCAACAGCCCAGAUCGUCAGCUAAGGUCCCUAAAUGUAAGUUAAGUGGUAAAGGAUGUGGGAUUGCACAGACAACCAGGAUGUUGGCUUAGAAGCAGCCACUCAUUCAAAGAGUGCGUAAUAGCUCACUGGUCGAGUGAUCCUGCGCCGAAGAUUUCCGGGGCUAAAACUUACUACCGAAGCUACGGCAUCAGUAAUGAUGGGUAGGGGAGCUUCCCAUACGGGUUGAAGCAUGACCGUAAGGACAUGUGGACAGUAUGGGAGUGAGAAUGUUGGCAUGAGUAGCGAGAUGUGGGUGAGAAUCCCACAGGCCGUAAACCCAAGGUUUCCAGGGGAAGGUUCGUCCGCCCUGGGUUAGUCGGGACCUAAGCUGAGGCCGAAAGGCGUAGGUGAUGGACAACAGGUUGAUAUUCCUGUACUACCGAUAACCGUUUGAGAGAAGGGAUGACACAGUAGGAUAAGCUAAGCACACUGUUGGUUAUGUGUGCCCAAGCAUUGAGGCAGUCAAAGCAGGCAAAUCCGCUUUGAUAAUGCUGGGAUGUGAUGGGGAGCGAAAUUUAGUAGCGAAGUAGCUGAUUUCACACUGUCAAGAAAAGUCUCUAUCGAGGUUAAAGGUACCCGUACCGCAAACCGACACAGGUGGGUGAGGAGAGUAUCCUAAGGCCAGCGAGAGAACUGUUGUUAAGGAACUCGGCAAAAUGACCCCGUAACUUAGGGAUAAGGGGUGCCACCAUCCGGUGGCCGCAGAGAAUAGGCCCAAGCGACUGUUUACCAAAAACAUAGGUUUCUGCUAAGUCGCAAGACGAUGUAUAGGAGCUGACGCCUGCCCGGUGCUGGAAGGUUAAGGGGAUCUGUUAGAGCAAUCGAAGCAGUGAACUUAAGCCCCAGUAAACGGCGGCCGUAACUAUAACGGUCCUAAGGUAGCGAAAUUCCUUGUCGGGUAAGUUCCGACCCGCACGAAAGGCGUAACGAUUUGGGCACUGUCUCAACAACAGACUCGGUGAAAUUGUAAUUCCGGUGAAGAUGCCGGAUACCUGCGACAGGACGGAAAGACCCCAUGGAGCUUUACUGUAGCUUGACAUUGGGUCUUGGUACUACAUGUACAGGAUAGGUGGGAGGCUUUGAAACCAGGACGCCAGUUUUGGCGGAGCCAUCCUUGGGAUACCACCCUUGUAGUACUGGGACUCUAACCAUAGGCCAUGAAUCUGGUCUUGGGACACUGUCAGGUGGGCAGUUUGACUGGGGCGGUCGCCUCCCAAAAGGUAACGGAGGCGCUCAAAGGUUCUCUCAGUACGGUCGGAAAUCGUACGUAGAGUGUAAAGGCAAAAGAGAGCUUGAUUGCAAGACAUACAGGUCGAGCAAGGAUGAAAAUCGGACUUAGUGAUCCGGUGGUUCUGCGUGGAAGGGCCAUCGCUCAACGGAUAAAAGCUACCCUGGGGAUAACAGGCUUAUCUCCCCCAAGAGUCCACAUCGACGGGGAGGUUUGGCACCUCGAUGUCGGCUCAUCACAUCCUGGGGCUGUAGUAGGUCCCAAGGGUUGGGCUGUUCGCCCAUUAAAGUGGUACGCGAGCUGGGUUCAGAACGUCGUGAGACAGUUCGGUCCCUAUCCGUCGCAGGCGUAGGAAAUUUGAGAAGACCUGUCCUUAGUACGAGAGGACCGGGAUGGACGUACCUCUGGUGUACCAGUUGUCCUGCCAAGGGCAUGGCUGGGUAGCUAUGUACGGAAUGGAUAAGCGCUGAAAGCAUCUAAGCGCGAAGCCAACUUCAAGAUAAGAUUUCCCACCGCAAGGGUAAGACCCCAGAAAGACUAUCUGGUUGAUAGGUCGAAGGUGUAAGUGCAGCAAUGUAUUUAGCUUAUCGAUACUAAUAGGUCGAGGACUUGACCAAU